AUUGAACGCUGGCGGCAGGCCUAACACAUGCAAGUCGAGCGAGCGGCGGACGGGUGAGUAAUGUCUGGGAAACUGCCUGAUGGAGGGGGAUAACUACUGGAAACGGUAGCUAAUACCGCAUACCAUCAGAUGUGCCCAGAUGGGAUUAGCUAGUAGGUGGGGUAAUGGCACUCCUAGGCGACGAUCCCUAGCUGGUCUGAGAGGAUGACCAGACACACUGGGGCUGAGACACGGGCGUGUAUGAUACGGGGGGCUGCAGUAGGGAACAGUCACCAAUUGGCGGGAUCUUCAUGCGGCUAUCCGGCGUUUGUGAAAAAGGCUUUCUGAUGUUAAAACAUUGUCAGCUGAGGGUUGUUACUCGAAGAAGAAGCACCGGCUAACUCCGUGCCAGCAGCCGCGGUAAUUC
rnacentral:rRNA from 1 species